CUUGUGUUAUUAGAUUACUGCUGGACUUGUCCUUGUCAAACCCCAGACAUGGUCUCCUCACUGACUCUUUAAUGGGACAUUAGUAUUGGACUCUUGUGCAUGUGGCCUGUUUUGUUGUCCCCUGUAUUGUGUCUAACAGCUGUCUCUGUGUCCUUGUUACUAGGCAUGGCUGAGCGAGAUCCAUGAGUAUGCACAACAAGAUGUUGUGCUCAUGCUGCUAGGAAACAAGGCAAGGCAUUGUGGGAUGUCUGUCUUUGUUGGUAGAGGUAUUCAGUUUUCUUAUUUUUAUUAAUGACAAUAUUUAUGUUUACCAGGCUGACUCCUCACAUGAGAGAGUGGUGAAGAGAGAAGAUGGUGAGAAACUUGCUAAGGAUUUUGGAGUCCCCUUCAUGGAGACCAGUGCCAGGUCUGGUCUGAACGUGGAGCUGGUCUUCACUGCUGUGGCAAAAGAGCUGAAACAUAGGUCUAUGAAGGAUCCCAGCGAAACUUUCAAGCUCCAAGAAUACGUCAACAAAGAGAUGAGGGGAGCGAGCUGCUGCUAGACCCUGGCCUGCUGACCUCACUGUCUUUGUGCAUUUGUCAAACAAGGACAAAAAUUCUAUCUCCAUAAAUACAAUUCUCUGAAAACA